AUGAAAAUUGCAAGCACUCAAAACAUUUGUCAAAGUUUGCACCCAAAAAAAUAUGUUUGCGAAAUGCACCAGAAGAGACCAGACCCAGGCAGUCCGGCUCCUCUGUUGCCCUCUCCUCAUUUUCUGUGGCCCUUCUAUAUCAGUGCAACCCAAUGUUUUCAUAACCCUGAGUUGAUCCAUAAUUAUGCAAAGGGAAGUGUUUAUAAAUGGCGCGCUGGCCGAACCUUUCCGCCGGACCCUUCGGCACGCACCGCUGCUCAUGGGUCCACGCGGCCACUCGUCCUGCCCACACGCGCCAAGUGGCUGGGGAUCCAGGCAACCGUCAUCUUCCCACGACCUUCUCCUCUUCUGCAGCACCACGACCCCUUCUUCUUCCCUGCUUCCGCACCAUUGACGGCGAGGUCUCGAACAUGGCGCACUCCCCUGCAACUCCGACGCUACUAUUUUGUGACGCCCGGAUAA
rnacentral:rRNA from 1 species